CGAAAAACAGUAAGUAAAAUCUCUAUAUAUUGUGAAGUUGUAAAGCCACUUCUCUUACAUGCAAUAAAUAGGAACCAAAUUGUAAGUUAAAGAACUUACUUAUUUUUGCUUAUAAGUUAUUCUUUAGAUCUAUAACUUUUUUUUUUCUUUCAGAUUAUAAUUUGAUGAUGAAGUCUUUGGUUAUUCUCCUUCUCGCCUCAUUGUUGAUUGCGGGAAAUUACCAGGCUCGUGCAAAAAUGCUUCGUAGGAGGAAUCCUCGUGUCCUAGCCAGCGAUGAACAUCUUGGUGGAGAAGAACGAAUCGCAGCUAAUGAUAAUAGUAAAACUGCAGAUAAUGAAGCUAAGAGUGAUAAUUAUGAAGGGACAUCUGGAUCAGACUCACACCGAUUAUUCCCAGAGGAGGGAAAACCUAAAUACAACCCACCGCGACAUGUUUAGAGGCCACUUGUUUAUCUAUAUCGAUCUCGUGGAGGAUAAGUUUUCGAUCUUGUGCUCGUUUGUUGCCAAAAGUGUAACAUAUAUAUGGAAAAUGAAAGUUUAAGAAAGUCCGGGGUAAUAGUUUGUGUAAUAAGUAAGUUUUGUUUUAAUGUAACAGUAAAAAUGUUCGGUGUAAAUUGCAUUGUCUACAAUAAGGCAAGCCAUGGCUGCAAG
rnacentral:lncRNA from 1 species